GCAAGUUUGAGGUUAUUCAUUCCCUCAUUUCUCACCCAUAGAACCGUCCCCUCCCUCUCUCUCUUCUCUCCCAAUUUUCUUCAUCAUCCUCCAUUGAUGAUCAUAUACAAAGCUUCAUAGAUCAUUUCUAUACCAUAAGCUUCCAUUAAAACAAGAUCUAAACAUCUAUACACUUCAAAUCAAGAGCAACUAUGGAAGGUUUUUAAAGCUUGAAGUCAAGAGGAGAUUUUCAUUUUCUACUCAAAAAUCAUUGAAUGCGAGCAGAGGACGGAAGUGAGUCCACCCCGAACGCUACGAGAGUAAGCUAGGACAUCAGGAUAAGCGAGGAGGGAGAUUGGACUGGUGCUGGCAGGGAUUUUGUUUCGGAUGAUCGUCAUUAUACCGUAAUUAUAUUCCUUGCGGUAACAUCAAGAUGUUGAAGUUUAUUUUGAACUUAAUCAAGGAAUUUACUCCCGGCUAUAUGUCUUCAUACAUAUAGUCUGUUCGCAUUUUGCUGCGAUGCUCUAUAUAUCCCGAGUCAUCUUGAGUAAUUAGCUAUGUCUACUUUGUAAAGGUUGACAAGAAUCUCGAUGAUUUAAAAGUUAUAAAUCAAAUAAUAUUUUUAUUGA